GCGUCAGUAGGGCAACGGAUAGAGCAUGCGCUUCCAGAAAGAGUGAGUUGCGGGUUCGAGUCCCGCCUGACGCG